rnacentral:rRNA from 1 species
CACGUAGGCACCAAGCGUUGUCCGGAUUUAUUGGGCGUAAAGAGCUCGUAGGCGGUUUGUCGCGUCUGCCGUGAAAGUCCGGGGCUCAACUCCGGAUCUGCGGUGGGUACGGGCAGACUAGAGUGAUGUACGGGGAGACUGGAAUUCCUGGUGUAGCGGUGAAAUGCGCAGAUAUCAGGAGGAACACCGGUGGCGAAGGCGGGUCUCUGGGCAACAACUGACGCUGAGGAGCGAAAGCGUGGGGAGCGAACAGG